UUUAGACUUAACUAUGGACCAACUAAGAGAUAUCAGGGGACUAACGUACCCGCUAUUUGAAGAUGCGCGAGUCAGAUUAUUACUAUCAAAAAAUUCAACGUAUGUUGAUGUCAUUGCUGAGUUCAACAGAAAAUAUAAACUUCGUAACGAAAUAACGUUGGAGGAGCUUGAUGGAACUGAUCGAGUACGAGGCUUUCGGAUGCAUGAUUUGAUAGAAAUGU